rnacentral:rRNA from 1 species
GACGAACGCUGGCGGCGUGCUUAACACAUGCAAGUCGAACGGAAAGGCCCUGCUUGCCGGGUACUCGAGUGGCGAACGGGUGAGUAACACGUGGGUGAUCUGCCCUGCACUUCGGGAUAAGCCUGGGAAACUGGGUCUAAUACCGGAUAGGAGCCACUUUUAGUGUGAUGGUUGGAAAGUUUUUUCGGUGUAGGAUGAGCUCGCGGCCUAUCAGCUUGUUGGUGGGGUAAUGGCCUACCAAGGCGGCGACGGGUAGCCGGCCUGAGAGGGUGGACGGCCACAUUGGGACUGAGAUGCGGCCCAGACUCCUACGGGAGGCAGCAGGGGGGAAUAUUGCACAAUGGGCGCAAGCCUGAUGCAGCGACGCCGCGUGUGGGAUGACGGCCUUCGUGUUGUAAACUCCUUUCGCUAGGGACGAAGCUUUUUGUGACGGUACCUAGAUAAGAAGCACCGGCUAACUACGUG